UAAUAGUAAUAACAGGACCAUUUUAAUCUGUGAACAAGUCUUUUAAUUAUCAAUAUCUCUUUUCAGUCAAUAGUUGCAGCCUCCGCCUCAUCCAACAUUCCCUUCAGAAGAACGAGGUGCCCAGGAGGAGAGGUUAUCAGGCACAACUGAGGGAUGCAGAAAGGCCCAAGAGCACCCAGAAGAAGGGAAAGAAGACCCGCUCCCUCCUGUGGGUCCUUCCGCACAGUGAAAGGCCUUGGAGACGCUGCUGCUCUUCAGACACUUGGAGGUCAAGUUGGGCCCACUUCUGUGUUUCAAGCAUUUUGCCUACUAUUGUCCCACUUGCACGAAUAAAUUGAUUUCUGACGGGAUGAAGACUUGGCCAAGAAAAGGGGAGAGAGGCUGGUCACAGAGGAGAUCUGAGUGGGCAGUGAAGAUAAGGAUGUUCUAAUUACCCUCAUUUCCAGACUCCGAGAUGGAAGGCUGCUCCUAGCCAGAGCACUAAGUGUUGUCAAAUUACCCGAAGCAUUCAAAAGAAUAUGCCAUUUCAGCGAGAGGGUGGAGCCAUCCUGUAAUUUCUGUUAGUCAUCCACUGUUUCUUUACGGACUGUCAGGUGCCAGUAUGAUGAACCUUUUAAAAUCAUUUCCCUCGCUGUCCAAAGUCUGAAAGCCCAAGUCUUCUUGCUCCUGGGCUGAGCACUUUGCUCUCCUGAAGGCCAGGGGCCCCAUAGACCCCUCCUCCCCCUUCCAGCCCCCCU
rnacentral:lncRNA from 1 species